UACGUAGGUGGCUAGCGUUGUCCGGAUUUACUGGGCGUAAAGAGCUCGUAGGCGGUCUGUUGCGUCUGCUGUGAAAACCCGGGGCUUAACCCCUGGCUUGCAGUGGAUACGGACAGACUAGAGGUAGGUAGGGGAGAAUGGAAUUCCCGGUGUAGCGGUGAAAUGCGCAGAUAUCGGGAGGAACACCGGUGGCGAAGGCGGUUCUCUGGGCCUUACCUGACGCUGAGGAGCGAAAGCGUGGGGAGCAAACAGG
rnacentral:rRNA from 1 species